rnacentral:rRNA from 1 species
GUGUCAGCAGCCGCGGUAAUACGUAGGGGGCGAGCGUUGUCCGGAUUCAUUGGGCGUAAAGAGCUCGUAGGCGGCUUGGCAAGUCGGGUGUGAAAUCUCCAGGCUCAACCUGGAGCCGCCACUCGAUACUGCCAUGGCUAGAGUCCGGUAGGGGACCAUGGAAUUCCUGGUGUAGCGGUGAAAUGCGCAGAUAUCAGGAGGAACACCAGUGGCGAAGGCGGUGGUCUGGGCCGGAACUGACGCUGAGGAGCGAAAGCGUGGGGAGCGAACAGGAUUAGAAACCCUUGUAGUCC